GACGAACGCUGGCGGCGUGCCUAAUACAUGCAAGUCGAACGAGAGCAACCGGUGCUUGCACUGGUCAAUCUAGUGGCGCACGGGUGAGUAACACGUGGGUAACCUGCCCAUCAGAGGGGGAUAACAUCCGGAAACGGAUGCUAACACCGCAUAGGUCUUCGAACCGCAUGGUUGGAUGAGGAAAAGCGGCGCAAGCGUCUGCUGAUGGGUGGACCCGCGCUGCAUGAGCUAGUUGGUGUGGUAACGGCUCUCCAAGGCCGUUAUGCAUAGACGACGGGAGGGGGUGAUCGGCGACAUUGGGAGUGGGACACGGCCCAUACGCCUGCGGGAGGCCGCAGUAGGGAAUCUUCCGCAGUGGACGCAAGUCUGACGGAGCAACGCCGCGUGAGUGAAGAAGGUGUUCGGAUCGUAAAACUCGGUUGUUAGUGAAGAACAAGUGCUAGAGUAACUGUUAGCGCCGUGACGGUAACUAAUCAGAAAGCCCCGGCUAACUACGUG
rnacentral:rRNA from 1 species